rnacentral:rRNA from 1 species
CCUACGGGUGGCAGCAGUGAGGAAUAUUGGUCAAUGGCCGGAAGGCUGAACCAGCCAAGCCGCGUGAAGGACGAAGGUGCCAAGCAUUGUAAACUUCUUUUGUCAAGGGACAAAAUCAGGCUCGAGAGCCUGACCGAGGGUACUUGAAGAAAACGCAUCGGCUAACUCCGUGCCAGCAGCCGCGGUAAUACGGAGGAUGCGGGCGUUAUCCGGAUUUAUUGGGUUUAAAGGGUUCGUAGGCGUGCUGUUAAGUCAGCGGUAAAAGCCCGGGGCUAAACCCCGGCGAGCCGUUGAGACUGGGUGUCUGGAGAUGUCGAGAGGUAUGCGGAAUGCGCAGUGUAGCGGUGAAAUGCGUAGAUAUUGCGCAGAACUCCGAUUGCGAAGGCAGCAUACCGGCGGCGAUCUGACGCUGAGGCACGAAGGCGUGGGUAUCGAACAGGAUGAGAUACCCUUGUAGUC